rnacentral:piRNA from 1 species
UCUCCCUAAUUCCAUUGCGUUGUGAUGAU